AGCGAACGCUGGCGGCAGGCCUAACACAUGCAAGUCGAACGAACUCUUCGGAGUUAGUGGCGGACGGGUGAGUAACACGUGGGAACGUGCCUUUUGGUUCGGAAUAACUCAGGGAAACUUGUGCUAAUACCGAAGGUGCCCUUCGGGGAAAGAUUUAUCGCCAUUAGAGCGGCCCGCGUCUGAUUAGCUAGUUGGUGAGGUAAAAGCUCACCAAGGCGACGAUCAGUAGCUGGUCUGAGAGGAUGACCAGCCACACUGGGACUGAGACACGGCCCAGACUCCUACGGGAGGCAGCAGUGGGGAAUCUUGCGCAAUGGGCGAAAGCCUGACGCAGCCAUGCCGCGUGAAUGAUGAAGGUCUUAGGAUUGUAAAAUUCUUUCACCGGGGACGAUAAUGACGGUACCCGGAGAAGAAGCCCCGGCUAACUUCGUGCCAGCCGCCGCAGUAA
rnacentral:rRNA from 1 species